UACGUAGGGUGCGAGCGUUGUCCGGAAUUAUUGGGCGUAAAGAGCUUGUAGGCGGUUUGUCGCGUCUGCCGUGAAAAUUCGAGGCUCAACCUCGAACUUGCGGUGGGUACGGGCAGACUAGAGUGUGGUAGGGGAGACUGGAAUUCCUGGUGUAGCGGUGAAAUGCGCAGAUAUCAGGAGGAACACCGGUGGCGAAGGCGGGUCUCUGGGCCGUAACUGACGCUGAGGAGCGAAAGCAUGGGGAGCGAACAGG
rnacentral:rRNA from 1 species